rnacentral:rRNA from 1 species
UACGGAGGGGACUAGCGUUGUUCGGAAUUACUGGGCGUAAAGCGCACGUAGGCGGAUUUGUAAGUCAGGGGUGAAAUCCCGGAGCUCAACUCCGGAACUGCCUUUGAUACUGGGAGACUUGAGUUCGGGAGAGGUGAGUGGAACUGCGAGUGUAGAGGUGAAAUUCGUAGAUAUUCGCAAGAACACCAGUGGCGAAGGCGGCUCACUGGCCCGAUACUGACGCUGAGGUGCGAAAGCGUGGGGAGCAAACAGG